rnacentral:rRNA from 1 species
CCAGACUCCUACGGGAGGCAGCAGUCGAGAAUCAUUCACAAUGGGGGAAGCCCUGAUGCAGCGACGCCGCGUGGGUGAAGAAGCGCCUCGGCGCGUAAAGCCCUGUCAGCAGGGAAGAAAAUGACGGUACCUGAAGAAGAAGCCCCGGCUAACUACGUGCCAGCAGCCGCGGUAAUACGUAGGGGGCGAGCGUUAUCCGGAUUCACUGGGUGUAAAGGGAGCGUAGACGGCCAUGCAAGCCAGGGGUGAAAGCCCGGGGCCCAACCCCGGGACUGCUCUUGGAACUGCGCGGCUGGAGUGCAGGAGGGGCAGGCGGAAUUCCUGGUGUAGCGGUGAAAUGCGUAGAUAUCAGGAGGAACACCGGUGGCGAAGGCGGCCUGCUGGACUGCGACUGACGUUGAGGCCCGAAAGCGUGGGGAGCAAACAGGAUUAGAUACCCGAGUA